ACCCGCUGAAUUUAAGCAUAUCAAUAAGCGGAGGAAAAGAAACUAACAAGGAUUCCCCUAGUAACGGCGAGUGAAGCGGGAAGAGCUCAAAUUUGUAAUCUGGCACUUUCAGUGUCCGAGUUGUAAUCUCGAGAAGUAUUUUCCGCGCCGGACCGCAUACAAGUCUGUUGGAAUACAGCGUCAUAGUGGUGAGAACCCCGUAACUGAUGCGGAUGCCCGGUGCUUUGUGAUAUACUUUCGAAGAGUCGAGUUGUUUGGGAAUGCAGCUCAAAUUGGGUGGUAAAUUCCAUCUAAAGCUAAAUAUUGGAGCAAGACCGAUAGCGAACAAGUACCGUGAGGGAAAGAUGAAAAGCACUCUGGAAAGAGAGUUAACAGUACGUGAAAUUGUUGGAAGGGAAACGCUUGAAGUCAGACUUGCUAUUCGGAGUUCAGCCGCAAGGUGUAUUCUUCGAUUUGCAGGCCAGCAUCAGUUUUUGGGGGUGGAAAAUCGUGGUUUGAAGGUAGCAGCUUCGGCUGUGUUAUAGCUUUCCACUGGAUUCAUCUUCGGGGACUGAGGAACGCAGUACGCUUUUUGCAAGGCUUUCGAGCUUUUCGUACUUAGGAUGCUGGUGGAAUGGCUUUAAACGACCCGUCUUGAAACACGGACCAAGGAG
rnacentral:rRNA from 1 species